rnacentral:lncRNA from 1 species
GUUGAAUUAGGUGAAAGACAAAGCGCCUCUUUAGACCGGGACGCCUCGGAGUCUGACCUGAGACUUGCAGCACCCAGGUUUCUCAGGGCCUUGCGUCUGUCCCCUGGGUGCCGCAGAACUCGAAGGCACCGCGCCGCCUUUGGCUAAGGGUGAGUGGGCUCCGGGCGCGGCCCGGCUGCUGUGAGGUAGACGACGAGCUGCCCGGGGAGGGAUCGAGGGGCUUGAGGCCACCCGGGCUGGAUUCCACUUGUAGGACGCGGUGCAACCUCCUGGAAUGAGAGUAAAGGGGAAGUGCUCUCAGUGAAAGAAAGACCAGGGACCCUGAAUGGGGACCCCUUCGGUCUGUGGGCGGGCCUAGCUUUGCAGGGCACUGACCUCUUCAGUUUUGACCAGUUUCAGCCCGCUAGACUUCAGAUCUUUUGAAGACAAGGACCACCAUUGUAUGUCAAGCAUACAAUAGGCGCUCAACUCUGCUAGUGGAAGAAUCAUGCAGAAGAGGCUUUUGUUGCUUUGAAUAGAAUAUACACUGCACUGUGCAUCUAAUGGUUUCCUGUGGCAUGCCUCCCAGAUGCUAGGCACUGUGCUAGAGCAUAAGGUACACACAUUCCCUCUUAAACGAACUCACAGACUGGGGGUAUGCUGGUGGAGAGAGAGAAACAAGCAAGUGCAAAAUACUAUGGCGAGUGCUGGGAUGGUGUCCUCUCUCUCAGAUUUUAGGAGCACCUAAUUUAGAGUUAGGGAGUCACGGACAGCUCCUUAGAGGAAGUCCUGUCCGAGAAGGACCUGAAAGGAUGGAUGCACCAGGCUGAGGAAUAGCACAUUCAAAGUAUCCCAGGAAGGGCCAAUAAAAACAUCCUGGAGAGAAAAUAGCUGGGCAGUUUCUCAAAAAGUUAAAUAUGAAAUCACCAUGUGACUUAGCAAUUCGCUCCUAGGUAUAUACCCAAAAGAAUUGAAAACAUAUGUUCGUACAAAAACCCUGUACAUUAAUGUCCAUAGCAGCAUUAUUCAUAAUAGCCAAAAAAGUGGAAAUAACCCAAAUGUCCACCAAGUGAUGAAUGGACAAACAAAAUGUAGUAUAUCCUACAACGUAUGGAUACGAUUGUAUACUACAAUCCGUACGUGUUAUUUAGCCAUGACAAGGAAUGAAGUACUGUUAUAUGCUACAAUAUGGAUGAACCUUGAAAAUAUUAUGCUACGUGAAAGAAUCCAGACACAAAAGGCCACGUAUUAUGUGACUUCAUUUGUAUGAAAUGUCCAGAACAGGUAAACCUAUAGAGAUAGAGAGUAGAUUAGUGGCUGUUGGUGGAUGAGGAAAGGGAGGAACUGGGGAGUGAUUGCUAAUGUGUAGGCAUUUCUUUCUGGGGCAGUGGAAAUGUUAGAACUAGAUAGUGAUGGUCAUACCAUAUGAUGAAUUAUACACUUCAAAAUGGUUUAAAUUGUGAAUUUUAUGUUAUGUGAAUUUUAUCUCAACUUUUUUAAAUUUGAGGGAAAAAAAACCCCACAAAAAACCCAGAGAAGAACUCAGCACUUUGGAGCAACUGAAAGCAGCUUUGAAUUACAGGGAAGUCUAGAACAGAGAGUGCGAGUGCGCAGCUGUGAACUGAAAAGACUAGCCCUGAGCUAACAUCUGCCACCAAUUCUCCUCUUUUUGCUGAAGAAGACUGGCCCUGAGCUAACAUCCAUGCCCAACUUCCUCUACCUUAUAUGUG